GUUUCUAUGGUGUAAUGGUGUGCACGCUGGACUCUGAAUCCAAUGAACUGAGUUCAAAUCUCAGUGGAACCUA
rnacentral:tRNA from 1 species